AAAACUAGCCAGUCCUAUGGGUAUGAAACCCAUUUGGGCGAGAGUAGUACUAGGAUGGUGACCUCCUGGGAAGUCCUCGUGAAAGGGUUUC
rnacentral:rRNA from 1 species